rnacentral:rRNA from 1 species
AGUGAACGCUGGCGGUAGGCCUAACACAUGCAAGUCGAACGGCAGCACAGUAAGAGCUUGCUCUUACGGGUGGCGAGUGGCGGACGGGUGAGGAAUACAUCGGAAUCUACUUUUUCGUGGGGGAUAACGUAGGGAAACUUACGCUAAUACCGCAUACGACCUACGGGUGAAAGCAGGGGAUCUUCGGACCUUGCGCGAUUGAAUGAGCCGAUGUCGGAUUAGCUAGUUGGCGGGGUAAAGGCCCACCAAGGCGACGAUCCGUAGCUGGUCUGAGAGGAUGGUCAGCCACACUGGAACUGAGCCACGGUCCAGACUCCUACGGGAGGCAGCAGUGGGGAAUAUUGGACAAUGGGCGCAAGCCUGAUCCAGCCAUACCGCGUGGGUGACGAAGGCCUUCGGGUUGUAAAGCCCUUUUGUUGGGAAAGAAAAGCAGCAGGUUAAUACCCCGCUGUUCUGACGGUACCCAAAGAAUAAGCACCGGCUAACUUCGUG